AAAUGCACACAUACAUCACACGUUUUAAAGUGACUUGAUAAUUAAUAUUGUUACACUUGAGAAAAAUCCUGGCUCUCCAUGGAGAAGUCAUGUCAUGAGUCAGAAGAGUGCAGGCUGAGGCAUGCCCUCCUCUGAACGGCUUGUCUGCACUCUAAAAGCCAAGUGAACCAACCAUUCCAUCCGUAUGAAGAGCAUAAGUCCUGGAUUUGUGUCGUGAUGUCAUCUCAGGUGCCACUGCUAUCUGUUCUGAGGUUCACUCUGUUCAGCAGCCUUGGACUCUUCAUGGAGUAACAGAUUGGUAUAACUACAGCCUUGAGCCUCACUUGAACCACCACAGCCUCUUCUGGACAGCCAGCAGUCCUUGAAGUCUCAGAGUCUUUUAACCAAAGGGUGUGGAUGUUUCCUUAUUGAUAUCAUCAAAGAUCUAGUGUAUCAAGAUGACAAACUUUGCUCCCUGUUGGGCCAAAAAGAGACAUAAAAUUUAAAACAACAACAACAAAACAAACAAAGCAACACAAACAAAACAACAACGAUAAAAAACAGCCUUCUUCUUUUAGCGACUGCAGUACUGCACCAGGGAAGAGGUGGUCAUCAACUAUGAAGGAAUCCAGACCUUUAAUCCUGUAGAGCUUCCAAGUAAGGAUAAUGGGUCAACUACAACCUUCUACCUAGGAUAUGUCGACGUGCACGGCAUUAGGAAAAUCUGCUCUUUAAAUUAAAAUACAAACUCAUGAGGAUUUUCUUUAUCAUUUACCAAAAAUAUAUGCCUUAGAUAUUCUUUAAUUUCAUUCAUUCAGUCAGUGAAAUGAUAAAUGUUUGUUAGGUGCCUAUUAGGAGUCAGACACCAUACUAGCCAAUCUAAAAGAUAAAAUUGCAUUUAUAAAACCUUUGAUAAUCACAGUUAUUCCAGAUAUACUAGGGAACACCUAAUGUUAAUACCUGUUAAUUCUCAGUUAUCUAUUUUGAUGGAGAAAGAAA
rnacentral:lncRNA from 1 species